rnacentral:telomerase_RNA from 1 species
GCGGCUUUUGAGGAUGUACUUUGUCCGCAACAACAUGCCCUUUGGUGCCUCCAGCGCGCCAAAGAGGAAACAAAGACGAGUC